CUCGGCGGCAUUUUUCACAACAUGGGCAUGUUGGAGGUGGAGGUGGAGGUGGAGGUGGUGGAGGUGGAGGUGGAGGUGGAGGUGGUGGAGGUGGUGGUGGAGGAGGAGGUGGUGGAGGUGGUGGUGGAGGUGGUGGUGGUGGUGGAGGUAUAACAAUGCACUUGACAGUUCGACCUCCUUUGCAGUAUAUUUUUUUCAUGAUCUUCUCAGGACAGCAACACACCACAGUGAUUGUCACCGUGUUUUU
rnacentral:lncRNA from 1 species